rnacentral:misc_RNA from 1 species
UUAUUUUUUAAUGUUUAUAUUAUUUGAAURWWWYAUUCAAAUAAUAUAAAAAAUAAUAUAUAUAUUGACAUGGAUUAAACAAAGAUAUAUAUUAUUUUAUGUUGUAUAAACAAAUUGGCAAAAUAGAGAUGGAAGAUAAAAAUAUGGUCAAAGUAAUAAGAGUCUAUGGUGGAUGCCUAGGAGCUUUAAGGCGAAGAAGGUCGUGGUAAGCUGCGAAAAGCUUGGGGG